rnacentral:rRNA from 2 species
AACGAACGCUGGCGGCAGGCUUAACACAUGCAAGUCGAGCGCCCCGCAAGGGGAGCGGCAGACGGGUGAGUAACGCGUGGGAAUCUACCUUUUGCUACGGAAUAACGCAGGGAAACUUGUGCUAAUACCGUAUGUGUCCUUCGGGAGAAAGAUUUAUCGGCAAGAGAUGAGCCCGCGUUGGAUUAGCUAGUUGGUGGGGUAAAGGCCUACCAAGGCGACGAUCCAUAGCUGGUCUGAGAGGAUGAUCAGCCACAUUGGGACUGAGACACGGCCCAAACUCCUACGGGAGGCAGCAGUGGGGAAUAUUGGACAAUGGGCGCAAGCCUGAUCCAGCCAUGCCGCGUGAGUGAUGAAGGCCCUAGGGUUGUAAAGCUCUUUCACCGGAGAAGAUAAUGACGGCAUCCGGAGAAGAAGCCCCGGCUAACUUCGUGCCAGCAGCCGCGGUAA